GGUUUUAAAUGCAGNUCGACGAAGCCCUCUCCCGUUGAUUGAAGUAGCUUGCUACAGAUUGAAACAAUUGAGGUGACUGAGUGGCGGACGGGUGAGUAACGCGUGGGUAACCUGCCUUGUACAGGGGGAUAACAGUUGGAAACGACUGCUAAUACCGCAUAAGCGCACAGUAUCGCAUGAUACGGUGUGAAAAACUCCGGUGGUACAAGAUGGACCCGCGUCUGAUUAGCUAGUUGGAGGGGUAACGGCCCACCAAGGCAACGAUCAGUAGCCGACUUGAGAGAGUGAUCGGCCACAUUGGGACUGAGACACGGCCCAAACUCCUACGGGAGGCAGCAGUAGGGAAUAUUGCACAAUGGGGGAAACCCUGAUGCAGCGACGCCGCGUGAAGGAUGAAGUAUUUCGGUAUGUAAACUUCUAUCAGCAAGGAAGAAAAUGACGGUACUUGACUAAGAAGCCCCGGCUAAAUACGUGCCAGCAGCCGCGGUAAUACGUAUGGGGCAAGCGUUAUCCGGAUUUACUGGGUGUAAAGGGGGCGUAGGCGGUACGGCAAGUCAGAAGUGAAAGCCUGGGGCUCAACCCCGGAAUUGCUUUUGAAACUGUCGAACUAGAGUGUCGGAGGGGUAAGCGGAAUUCCUAGUGUAGCGGUGAAAUGCGUAGAUAUUAGGAGGAACACCGGUGGCGAAGGCGGCUUACUGGACGACCACUGACGCUGAGGCUCGAAAGCGUGGGGAGCAAACAGGAUUAGAU
rnacentral:rRNA from 1 species